AUCCAUGGCCAUGCCACCUUGACCAUGCUUGAUCUCAUCUGAUCUUGGAACCUAAGUGGGGUUGGGUCUGAUUUAUACUGGGAUGAGAGACCACAUUGGAAUACUGAAUGCCAUGGUCU
rnacentral:rRNA from 1 species